UGGUGGUUAUUUAUGGAAGCUUAAAUGGGUCAAAAGUUUAUAUUUCAUAUUGACAUAUUUAAGUCAAAAUCUAUACAACAUUUUUACAAGUUAACUUAAAUAUGGGUUCUUGUUGAAUUGAUAUCUCUCUUAAUAUCUAAAAAUCAACUUAAUUUUGUAUACAUGUCGAGUGAAUAAAGUAUACAUUAAAUAUCAUUGGUAAAAUAUGACUUUAGCUGUGUGUAGUAUAUGAUUUGUUUUCAUCUUGUUUACUUUUAAAUUUCAUUUUGACGACACAACUUCUCAACAAGUGGACAAGUAACAAGUCAUCUUAUCGUGUUGUUUAAAAUAUAUAUACUUAUUCUAAGUCAGAUUGUCUUAAAAAUAACAGCAUAUUAGCAUAUAUGAUGUGAAUUUGACUAUAAAUUCUAAAGACGAGCCAUGCAGUCUUAAGUUACGGUGCUUCUACAGAUCUUUGCUAGGCUAGUGGAAAGGGUACAAUGCUUCGGACAAUGUCUUUCAAGGUAACAUUCCUUGUGAUGCAUUUCUGUCUUGCUUGGGGUAUGCCCGGAGACAUUGCAAACACCCAAGAACUUGUUCGCUAUUAUCAUGAUCUUCGGUACACUACGAAAGAAAUAUGUGGAUUUUUGAUGUUAGUUCAUAAUAUGUAUUUUAGUAUAUCAACAAUUGAGCGGAUGAAAAGACGCCUGAACCUGAGAAGACGUCAAAUACCGUUGCAAACAGUGAUCAAUUGUAUUUUUGAACUUCGCUGUCAAUGUUUAGUAAAUCCGGGAUAUUGAGCGAUGUGGCGAUAGCUUGAUAUUUUUCGAGGUAUACACGUGUCCCAAGAAAUCGUUCGAAUAUGCAUGAGAGAAAUAGAUAGAGGGGAGGUCGCCCUAAGGUCGCAAAGAAGACUUAUAAGAAGGCAGUAUUUUAGUCUGGGUCCCAAUUAUUUAAUACACUUGGACGGAUACGAUAAACUUAAACCAUAUGGAAUCGCAAUUCAUGGGGGAUCGACGGAUUUUCCAGAAAAGUCCUGUGGCUAAAAGCUGGGCCUUUAAACAAUGACCACAGAUGCAUUGCAUACUUUUACAUCAACUUCAUCAAGGAAAAUCGCCGCAUUCCGGCUAUUAUCAGAUCAGAUGCAGGAACAGAAAAUGUAAUCAUGCAAGAUUACAGAUUGCUCUACGACUGGACCACGGUGAUAGGAUGUCUGGGAGAAAAAGGUUUUUAGUUGGGCCUUCAACUGCCAAUCUAAGAAUCGAAAGACUUUGGGGCACGCUGAAUAUGCAUUUUACACAGUUUUGGAGGAAUGUGUUUGCUGAAAUGAGUAACACUGGAGUCCUGAAUAAUCACAAUCCUAUCCAUAUUGAAUGCAUACGAUAUUACUUUCUUCCAAUUAUUCAGUCUCAGCUACAAGAUUUUAUGACAUCAUGGAACUUUCACACUGUUCGUGCUCAACGUCGAAACCAAUUAUAAACUCCUACUGGCAAACCAGAUGUAUUAUAUUACCAACCUGAAUUAUUUGGUAAAGUCGAUCAGUCUUUCCCUUUGCCAUGUACAGAUCAAGCAAUAAGUGAACUGGGAAAUAUGUUCACAGAAAGGUUCCCUUUCAGGGGAUGUUCUGCAAAUUUCAUUGAAGAUGUUAACCUCUUGACAGGCUUGCCACAAGAUUAUACCCCUGUUCCACACACUAUUCGGGAAGCAUUGGACUUGUUUAGUGUUUUAAAUACUGUGUGUGACUUUUUGACACGUAAACAUUGUUUGUCAUAAUAAAGUUUUCCAUUUUUCAGUA